UACGUAGGGGGCAAGCGUUGUCCGGAAUCAUUGGGCGUAAAGCGCGUGUAGGCGGCUCGGUAAGUCCGCUCUGAAAGUCCAGGGCUCAACCCUGGGAUGCGGGUGGAUACUGCCGGGCUCGAGUCCGGAAGAGGCGAGUGGAAUUCCCGGUGUAGCGGUGAAAUGCGCAGAUAUCAGGAGGAACACCGGUGGCGAAGGCGGAUCUCUGGGCCAUUACUGACGCUGAGGAGCGAAAGCGUGGGGAGCGAACAGG
rnacentral:rRNA from 1 species